AUGCUCGCUUUGGCAGCACAUAUACUAAAAUUGGAACGAUACAGAGAAGAUUAGUACAGACCCUGCACAAGAAUUAUGUGGGAUUCUGAAUCAGUCCCUUAAACAAUU